rnacentral:rRNA from 1 species
UGGGGAAUAUUGCACAAUGGGCGAAAGCCUGAUGCAGCAACGCCGCGUGAGUGAUGAAGGUCUUCGGAUUGUAAAGCUCUGUCUUUUGGGACGAUAAUGACGGUACCAAAGGAGGAAGCCACGGCUAACUACGUGCCAGCAGCCGCGGUAAUACGUAGGUGGCGAGCGUUGUCCGGAUUUACUGGGCGUAAAGGGUGCGUAGGCGGAUGUCUAAGUGAGAUGUGAAAUACCCGGGCUUAACUUGGGUGCUGCAUUUCAAACUGGAUAUCUAGAGUGCAGGAGAGGAGAAUGGAAUUCCUAGUGUAGCGGUGAAAUGCGUAGAGAUUAGGAAGAACACCAGUGGCGAAGGCGAUUCUCUGGACUGUAACUGACGCUGAGGCACGAAAGCGUGGGUAGCAAACAGGAUUAGAUACCCUGGUAGUCCACGCCGUAAACGAUGAGUACUAGGUGUAGGAGGUAUCGACCCCUUCUGUGCCGCAGUAAACACAUUAAGUACUCCGCCUGGGAAGUACGAUCGCAAGAU